GGGGGUUGGUCUAGCCCACUGGGUUGACCAAGAUAAAAACUUGGGGAAUUGUUUAAACACUAAAGUUGUUUGGAUAUGGUAGUGUGUGGUUCUCUUUUGGAAUUUUUUUCAGGUGAUUUAAUAAAACUUAAUACUACUAUAGGAGCUUCAGAGCAAAGGAAGUGGCUUAAUGAUCCUGAAGGGAUUUCUUCUGAUGGUAGCUUUUAUAUUAUCAAGUAAGAUUCUAUUUUCAGUUACAUAAGCAAGUUUUUUAGUAUAGGAAAUUUUUGUAUGGCUGCGAGACAAGAUGUAAAGGUAUGCUUCAAAAUUGUUGUAAAUUGUGUAUUGAAUUUGCACCUAAGUAUUUGUAAAUCAUAAUCAAUUAAAAGGGGUGGGUUUUUGUUGAUGGGGGGGAAACCUUUUUUUUCUGUAGACUUUUUUCAGAUAACAUCUUCUGAGUCAUACCCAGCCUGGCAAUAUGAUGGCCUAGAUGGAGAGGGGAACAGCUCCUUGGUGAAUGAUAAGUAAAGGCAGAAAAGAUUAUAUUUCAUACCUAUCUUCAUUGGGCAAAAGCAUAACUCUGAAAUCCUUACUACUGAUGAACUCAUGGUCUGCAUAUGCAAAAAAAAAAUUUAAGCAAAUGAAAGCUACCAAUUUAAAGUUAAUGGAAUCUACUCUUAAAGUUAUGGCAUAUCAAGCUGUAUCCACAAAAAUAAUGAAUCGAUGAGAAAUAAAAUAAUGAAAUGAUGAGAAAUACCAUGAAGAUCUAAUGCCCACCUCAAAAUACUGCUUUUACAAAAGCAGAAUAAAAAAUGAAAUGAAAUGAAAAUGAUAAAGCUACACAUUAACCCUGGAAUAAAAGAAGCUGAAAUAAUUGAAAGGAGUGGGAUCAAGUGGAUUGAGAGGAAGCUGUGCUGUUUGCCAAUCUUUCGUUUGCCUCAGACAGGUUUCUCUAUCAGAAGAGUUGCUUCAUAUCAUCUGGGAGCAGAAAACAGCAGGCAGCUGUUCACAGAUAAGUUUAACUUGCAUCUGCAGUAUUGCAUGUUAGGGAUAAGUGCUAUGUUUAAUAAGAGCUGUGGAGGUCCUAGGUCCCUUACUCAAGGGAUCUCAGGAUUUUGAGGAAUUUUCCCAUCCAGCCUUUUAAAAUGAGACAGGCCUUAUGCCUGUGGGCUUCCAUGAUGGGCUAACUCACUUCACUCGAGGCAAGUAAUUCCUUAAAGCCUCUUGAGAUUAAUACCUUAAUAAUCAAGGAUAAUGUUGAUAAAAUAAAAAUUUGUUUAGCAUUGAUUCUUGAAAACCCUAUGAAAAGAUAGCAUAAUGUGCUGUUAACCAGAAUCAGAUAUGUUAACCUUGCUAAAAUUUAAAUGUUAUGUGUAUUGUGCAGAAAACCGUAAAAUCACUCAAAAUAAAAUACUUUAUUUAGCGAAUGUAUGCUUUUAGAAAGCUGUCUCCUUAUUUAAAUAAAAUAUUGUUUGUCUGUAGUUAGUGUUGGGCAAUCUUGGGGGGAUUCUUCUCAUCUUUCAGAGACUUUGUCUGCGAACACUCUGUAAUGGACAAGAUCAGGAAUUGAGCUGAAGAACGAAUUUAACUUAAGGCAGGAAAGACAAAUUUUAUCCUUCGUAAAAUUGAUGACCAUUUAAUAAUUCCAGGCACAUGGCCAUAGAGACCCUCUAAAUAAAUAAGGAAUAAAUACUUAUUAGGCAGGUGGGAGAUUAUGAUCAGAAGAACAGGUAACUACACCUACGCAUUUUUCAGAAAGUCAGGAGUCGAAAUUGACAGUACUGAAGUAUAAUGCGGUCCACAUUUCCAAAGUUUGCAUGUUAAAUUGAAAUGCUUACCAUCUCAUCUAGUGUUAGCCAAUGCUUUACACUUAUUAGCCUUUUAUAUAGACACUUGGUGGGGGGCAUGUGGGUUUUUUAAAGAACUUUCCUUUGCAGAGGCUUCGUUUCAUCCUUCAUGAGGCUGUUCAGGAUUUUGACUUGCAUAUAAACGCUUGGCUCUGCCUUCUGUUCUCCUAGUGGGUGUGUGAGACCUUGCAGUGAGUUUUCAGCAUACUCAAGUAAAAAUUUUUUUCCCCCUGAUUUUGGAGGGAAGGGAGGAGAGGGUGGGGCUUACUUGUUUUAGCUUUUUUUUUGCAGACUACACAGAAUGCAGUUGUCUUGACCUCAGGUCUGUCUGUUCUGUUGGCAAGUAAUAAUGCAGUACUGUUCUGACCUGCUGCUAUUAGAAUGCAUUGUGAAACGACUGGAGUAUGAUUAAAAGUUAUGUUUCCCCCAAUGCUUGGAGUAGUGAUUGUUGAAGGAAAAUCCACUGAGUGAUAAAAGGCUGAGUGUUGAGGAAAUUUCUGCAGCUUUAAGCAUUCAUGUUUGUGAUUGAAGCAGUCCUUUUUGCUGUGCUUUAGGUAAAAUGCUUUUUGUUCACUUCUGGUAGGGGGGGUGGGGAGGGCACUGAAGCCUUUAGUCUUUUCCAGAUGCAACUUUAAAAUCAGUGACAAGAAAUAAGUUCCAAACGAACAACAGACUUCAAGAAGUUUAACUGGCAAGUGGAAACGUUUUAACAUCAGUUCAGUGGUCUUAGUGCAUUGUGUGUGCAGGUUUCUCUCUUCCCUCCCUUGGUCUCAAUUCUUAUACACAGGAACAUUCAGAACAACAGAUGAAGGGCCAGAGAAGCCAGACCCAGUAAGGAAAAAAAAAUAGUUCAUUUGCUUUUAAUAAACAAACCAAACAUUCCAUUUAAAUGUGGGGAUUGGGAACCACUAGUUCUUUCAGAUGGUACUCUUCAGACUAGAAGGAGCUUCCAGUUGAAUUCACCAGGGGACAAAAUGAGGACAACAGGUGAACAAGCUUUUUCUACGUUUACAUACCAAGUCAGAUCUGUUCCGGGUAAAUUAGUGUCAAAUGGCCUUUCAUUUCAGCUUUAUGCUGGAAUAAACAGCAUGAGCAAGUUUGUUGGCCUGGGGGUGGAGGGGUGAGGUGGGCGCUAAGCCUUUUUUUAAGAUUUUUCAGGUACCCCUCAAUAAAGGCACCCGAAGGCUUAAAGUAGGACAACCCUGGCGCCUUCCUGUGGCAAGAGAGACAACAAAGCGCUAUUAAACUAAGGUCAAUCUAAGUGGUGUCAGCCUCACAACCCCACCUUCGGUUAGACAUGAGGACUUGCCUCAACUGCCUCUGGGGAGUGAAGCAUCCAAAGGAAUGCCUGCGUACCUUGCGUACCCCCGGCCUGUGUAACGCCUCCCUGGGCUGUUUUUAGAGCAGCCCUUGAUGAAGCCCAGACCUGAGUGGUGCUUGAAGGGGAGGGAAAGGGGGAAAGCGGGCAACCACUUCUCCCUAGCUUUUCCAGAAACCUGUUAAAAAGCAAGGUCUCCCCACAAGUGACUUCUCUGCCACAUCGUCACCCCCUGCCUUUGGCCUAGCGCAGACCCUUCACCCCUCACCUCGAUGCUGUCGGUAGCUUGGAUCCUUGUGGGCAUGAUCCAUAAGCAGUUUAAGGUAUCUCUCAUGCAUCUGUUGUUUGGAGCAGUCUCACUAUUUUUAAAAAUAGAUGACAUAUUAAUAAAGGUUGAAAAACUUCAU
rnacentral:lncRNA from 1 species